UACGUAGGGGGCAAGCGUUGUCCGGAUUUAUUGGGCGUAAAGCGCGUGUAGGCGGCCACGCAGGUCCGCUGUGAAAACUCGAGGCUCAACCUCGAGCUGUCGGUGGAAACCGCGUGGCUAGAGUCCGGAAGAGGGGACUGGAAUUCCCGGUGUAGCGGUGGAAUGCGCAGAUAUCGGGAGGAACACCCGUGGCGAAGGCGGGUCCCUGGGACGGUACUGACGCUGAGACGCGGAAGCGUGGGGAGCGAACAGG
rnacentral:rRNA from 1 species